rnacentral:rRNA from 1 species
CUACUCGUGCAGCAGCGCGUAUACGAGGGACCUAGCGUAGUCGAUACUGGGCGUAAAGCGCGCGUAGCCGUUGAGUUAGUUAAUGUGAAAUCCCAAAGCUUAACUUUGGAACUGCAAUUAAACUGCUCGACUAGAGUUUGAUAGAGGAAAGCGGAAUACAUAGUGUAGAGGUGAAAUUCGUAGAUAUUAUGUAGAACACCAGUUGCGAAGGCGGCUUUCUGGAUCAACACUGACGCUGAGGCGCGAAAGUAUGGGUAGCAAAGAGGAUUAGAUACCCUCGUAGUCCAUACCAUAAACGAUGAUUGCUAGAUGUUGGAAAUUUAUUUUCAGUAUCGCAGCUAACGCAUUAAGCAAUCCGCCUGGGGAGUACGACCGCAAGGUUAAAACUCAAAGGAAUUGACGGGGGACCCGCACAAGCGGUGGAGCAUGUGGUUUAAUUCGAAGAUACGCGCAGAACCUUACCAACCCUUGACAUGUCUGUCGCGAGUUUAGGAAACUAGACUUUUCGGUUCGGCCGGACAGAACACAGGUGCUGCAUGGCUGUCGUCGGCUCGUGUCGUGAGAUGUUGGGUUAAGUCCCGCAACGAGCGCAACCCCUACUUUUAGUUGCCAUCAGGUAAUGCUGGGCACUCUGAAAGAACUGCCAGUGAUAAGCUGGAGGAAGGUGGGGAUGACGUCAAGUCCUCAUGGCCCUUACGGGUUGGGCUACACACGUGCUACAAUGGUAGUGACAAUGAGAUGCAAGGUGGCGACGCUAAGCUAAACUCAAAAAUCUACCUCAGUUCGGAUUGCACUCUGCAACUCGAGUGCAUGAAGCUGGAAUCGCUAGUAAUCGUAGAUCAGCGUGCUACGGUGAAUACGUUCCCGGGUCUUGUACACACCGCCCGUCACACCAUGGAAGUUGGUUCUACCUUAAAGCAGAUUGCUAACCGCAAGGAGGCGUUUGACCAAGGUAUAGUCAGCGACUGGGGUGAAGUCGUAACAAGGUAACCAAU